CCUACGGGAGGCAGCAGUGGGGAAUAUUGGGCAAUGGGCGCAAGCCUGACCCAGCAACGCCGCGUGAAGGAAGAAGGCUUUCGGGUUGUAAACUUCUUUUAAGAGGGAAGCGCAGAAGACGGUACCUCUUGAAUAAGCCACGGCUAACUACGUGCCAGCAGCCGCGGUAAUACGUAGGUGGCAAGCGUUGUCCGGAUUUACUGGGUGUAAAGGGCGUGUAGCCGGGCUGACAAGUCAGAUGUGAAAUCCCGUGGCUCAACCACGGAACUGCAGUUGAAACUGUCGGUCCUGAGUAUCGGAGAGGCAGGCGGAAUUCCGAGUGUAGCGGUGAAAUGCGUAGAUAGUGGGAGGAACACCAGUGGCGAAGGCGGCCUGCUGGACGACAACUGACGGUGAGGCGCGAAAGCGUGGGGAGCAAACAGGAUUAGAUACCCGUGUAGUC
rnacentral:rRNA from 1 species